GCCGGGGUAGCUCAAGGGUUAGAGCAGCCGCUUCGUAAGUGGCAGGUUGCAGGUUCAAAUCCUGUCCCCGGCU
rnacentral:tRNA from 1 species